rnacentral:tRNA from 1 species
GCUCCUGUGGUGGAAUCGGUAGACACACUGCACUCAAAAUGCAGCGCUGAAAGGCGUGAGGGUUCGAGUCCCUCCGGGAGCACCA